rnacentral:rRNA from 1 species
AAACGUAGGAGGCUAGCGUUAUCCGGAUUUACUGGGCGUAAAGCGCGUGCAGGUGGUUUCGUAAGUUGGAUGUGAAAGCUCCUGGCUCAACUGGGAGAGGUCGUUCAAAACUGCGAGGCUUGAGAGUGGUAGAGGGAGGUGGAAUUCCGGGUGUAGUGGUGAAAUGCGUAGAUAUCCGGAGGAACACCAGUGGCGAAAGCGGCCUCCUGGACCAUUUCUGACACUCAGACGCGAAAGCUAAGGUAGCAAACGGGAUUAGAGACCCCGGUAGUCUUAGCUGUAAACGAUGUGAACUUGGCGUCGGUGGGUUUAAAUCCAUCGGUGCCGAAGCUAACGCGAUAAGUUCACCGCCUGGGGACUACGGCCGCAAGGUUAAA